rnacentral:rRNA from 1 species
UACGAAGGGGGGCUAGCGUUGCUCGGAAUUACUGGGCGUAAAGCGUGCGCAGGCGGCUUUGCAAGACAGAUGUGAAAUCCCCGGGCUUAACCUGGGAACUGCAUUUGUGACUGCAUGGCUAGAGUGCGGCAGAGGGGGAUGGAAUUCCGCGUGUAGCAGUGAAAUGCGUAGAUAUGCGGAGGAACACCGAUGGCGAAGGGCAAUCCC